rnacentral:tRNA from 1 species
GACCAGAUAGCACAAUUGGUUGAGCGUCCGUCUCAAGUUCGAAAGGUCCCGGGUUCGAACCCCGGUCUGGCCG